AUUAUCACAUCUUCUGGUUUAUCAAAUUAUCACAUCUUCGGAUUUUGUGCAAGGACAGCUUCGGGUUCCGUUUCGCUUUGGCCGAUGCUUGUCGGAAGUACACUUAUUUACCGGAAGUUGUCGUCUCCUCCGCAGGCCCUUCGAUCUUCGACUACGCGCGCGGCUCGACACAAAUGAAAAACAAGAAAAAAAACAAGAAAAAAAAUAGGAGCCGAAUUUAAGACCUCGGUGUCGUACCGACCCGAGGUAAUUAAGCCUAUUAAGCAUAAAUACUUUAAGAGGUGUCCAUAUUAAGUAGAGGCAAGGACUUGG